AUGUGCAGGGAUGCUGCUGAUUCAGUGCAGACCACAGGAAAAGGUGCAGCCUCAGAUCACAUGAGCCCUUCCCGAUCUGGUCCUUCCUGGCUCCUUGGGUCUUAUCUCCAUAUGGGGUGCAGGAUUGAUUCUGAUUCAGAAAGCAGCUGGACGUCGCUGUGAAGGCCACUUUGAAGACGAUGAGAAAGAGCAUUCUCUGGGACUGUGGAAGAGGAAGCGAAUCUGGUGGGAGGGAGCUCUGCAGGCUUUCUGUACAUAGGCCUUGGGCUCCUGGAUGAUACAGUGACUCUUGCCGUGUUACCCCCUACAACCACUACAGAGCUGGAAGGCGAUGAUGCAUACGGAAUCACAAUCCGUGUGCUCUGAUGACUGUCUUAUCUAAGCUCUGGCUGGGAACUUGAGAAUCUUGCCAUUAAACUCCUAUCUCAAAAUGCUCA